AUUUAAUUACGACAUGUUAUUGACCUGUGCUUUUAGCACAAGCUCCAUUUCCCAAACAACAUACUAAGAAUAAAGCAAAUGAUUAGAAUGUUUUGAUCGUUAGUGCAUUUAAAAUGAUUUCUCCAAGCUCCAUUUACAUUUUCGUUUAAUAAUGAACAGAGUAAGGAAAGCAGAUCUACGCCCCAGCUGCUCAGGAAGUCUCAAUUGUGUGCAACCAGGACAUGUUGUUCAGUCAGCUGCAGCUGCCAAGAUAAGAGGGAAUAUGGGGAUAGGAAUGAUUCUCUUUGGCUUUAAGUAUAGGUUAUACCUUUCAUUUUGCCUUCUAUCUCCAAACAUGAGUAGGUUUCCCAGUUGGAUAUGGUAUUUCUAUAGAAGACUGGGUUGUGACCUACAUGCGAUGGCUCCUUGCCAUCCCUACAGCUCUGUUGUUUGCCAACCCUGGAACGUAAGGCCGCCUUUUUGGUUUUGCCCAGUGGAAACUCAGCUGUUCCUUUGGAGUGAGGACAGGAAGGCCAAGAUUCAGGACUUAUAGUUGACCAAGAUCACGGGUGCCAUCAACACUGAUCUCCAUGGAACUCUGCACGAGGUAAUUUCUCUUCUGAGAGCCCAGCAUCCAGCGAAUCAGUCCUGGUAAGUUAAAUCUACCUCUCAUCUUGCAAAUUGUAUUUAAAUUUUUAUGUAGGUUGGGUACAUCUCUUCACCCACUCGUAAUAUUAUUAAGGCACAUGAUCUAGACGUAGGAUUUUAUUAAUAUAAAACACAUUUUUUAGCAGCAUUAAUUCAAUGGUUUCUAGAUAAAACUGGUGAGACUUCUUCCUUGGGCUACCAUCUUUCUUAAAGAUGACCAUCCACUUUCUUUAUCAUUGG
rnacentral:lncRNA from 12 species